rnacentral:rRNA from 1 species
GGCGUGGAUUAGGCAUGCAAGUCGAGCGAGAUCAACUGGUUUCAAUCCUUCGGGAGAGAAGCCAGUUGUGAGAGCGGCGAACGGGUGAGUAAUAUAUGGGUAAUUUGCCUCUUUGUUCGGGAUAGCCAUCGGAAACGAUGAUUAAUACCGAAUGUGUUCGGGAACUGCAUAGUUCCUUAUAUAAAGGCGGGGAUCUUCGGACCUGUCGCAAAGAGAUAAGCCCAUAUCCUAUCAGCUUGUUGGUGAGGUAAUGGCUCACCAAGGCUUACGGGUAGCUGGUCUGAGAGGAUGAUCAGCCACACUGGAACUGAGACACGGUCCAGACUCCUACGGGAGGCUGCAGUCGAGAAUCAUUGUCAAUGCACGAAAGUGUGAACAUGCGACGCCGCGUGGAGGAAGACGGCCUUCGGGUUGUAAACUCCUGUCAGCAGGAAGGAAUAAUCAGACAAUUAAUACUGUUUGAUUUGACAGUACCUGCAGAGGAAGUCACGGCUAAC